rnacentral:lncRNA from 1 species
UAACCAAAAUAGAUAACAAAAAAACCCUCUCUAUGGCCAGGGCGUUACAGUGCCCCCCCAAAGGUGCGGACUCCGGCCGGGCGCAGGCACAGGACUCACUAGGCUGGGGAGACCCACAGGAGGCCUGGUCCUGGGAGGAGGCACAGGAUAAACCGGGCUGUGGGGGAGCACUGGAGUUCUGGUGCGUAGGCUUGCCACCCAAACUCCAGGCUGAAUGCCCACCUUUGCCCGGCACGGGCGAAGCGCAGGCAUAGGCCGAACUGAGCCCUCCCAGCACCCCGGAGACACAGUACGCAGCACCGGUGCAGGAUAGCCUGGACCGAGACAGCGCACCGGAGACCAGAUGCGCUGAGCUGGCACAUUCCGACCUGCCUCGAUGCCCACUCUCGCAUGGCACUUGCGGGGGGCUGGCAUGUAGCGUUCCGGGCUAUAAACGCGUACUGGGGACACCGUGCGCUUUACUGUAUAACACGGUGCCUGACCAGUACUGCGCUGCCUCCUGUAAGCAGGUCUCCAACCUGACUCUGCCACACUGUGCACGGGCUGCCUCUCGUGCCUGUUGCGCUCCCUUGCCUCAUACCAGCGCCUCUCAGCUAUCGCCGCCUCGAUCUCCCACUGCGGGCGGCGAUACUCCCCAGCUUGAGCCCAUGGUCCUUUACCGUCCAGUAGUUCCUCCCAUCUCCACGAGUCCAUACUGCCCCUCUCCUGGUGCUUCUCCUUCCUCCGUUGCUUGGUCCGUUUCUUGGUGGGUGAUUCUGUAAUGGCCGUCGUAGUAAUGAAACCAGGGUGAAGCGGAGGAUGUAACAGGUGUGCCUUGUUAAAAGUACAUUUGUGGAAUUUCUUUCCUUCUUAAUGCAUUUGAGACAAUCAGUUGUGUUGUGACAAGAUAGGAGUGGUAUACAGAAGAUAGCCCUAUUUGGUAAAAGACCAAAAGAUAUUUGCUAACAUAACACAUUGGUCAAGUGGACACUUCUCUACCGUAUUUAAGAAAAUUCAUGUUUGGCGUAUGAUUAUAAAAACACUUGAGAAUACCAUAAUUGUGUGAAUUUUCAAAUAUUUAUUAUGAGGUGAAUUGUUUGUUUUAUAUGUAUGAUCCUUUCAAUUGUUUCCUAUAUUACCAAGGCAUUAAUAAAUGCUGUCUUCAUCUGCCAUCAAACAAUGUAAAUCUCUUGUACUUUGGUAUUUUUAACAUUCAAAUUAAAUUGUUGCUGG